CUGAGAGAAGAAAAAAGCACAGUUUACACGCGUAGCAGCUCUCGAGCUUUUCCCUCGCUCCCGUCUCCCUGCGCUCUUCGCCGCCGCCAUGGAGGACGAUGAUGACUGCCCUCCUCUCGCCGUCGAGCUGCCGCCGCAGGUGCCGUCCCCUCCGGCGCAAGCUCCCUCGGACGCCUCGCCAGUUGGCGUCACCGUCAUCACUGGCUACCUCGGGGCCGGCAAGUCGACGUUAGUCAAUUACAUUUUGAAUGAGCAACAUGGGAAGAGAAUUGCCGUGAUACUAAAUGAGUUCGGGGAGGAAAUUGGGGUUGAGAGGGCGAUGAUCAACGAGGGGCAAGGUGGUGCACUUGUCGAGGAAUGGGUGGAACUGGCCAAUGGAUGUGUCUGUUGCUCUGUAAAACACAGUCUGGUUCAAGCACUUGAGCAGCUUGUGCAAAGAAAGGAUAGAAUGGAUCAUAUAUUACUUGAGACAACAGGAUUGGCCGAUCCUGCUCCACUUGUUUCCGUUCUUUGGCUAGAUGAUCAAUUGGAGUCAUCAAUUAGACUGGAUUCUAUUAUUACGGUUAUUGAUGCAAAAAACUUCAGGGUUCAGAUUGAUGAGCACAAAAACUCUUCCUCAUUCCCUGAAGCAUUUCAUCAAAUUGCAUUUGCGGAUGUUGUGAUAUUGAACAAAAUUGACCUAGUGGAAGACAAUCUUGAGGAUUUGGAAAAACAUAUUCAUGAUGUGAAUGCUCUGGUUACAGUGGUGCGGUCUGUCCGUUGCCAGGUUGACUUGAAUGAAGUAUUUAACCGGCAAGCAUAUGGUGUGAAGGAUUCAUCUCAUCUGCAAGAACUGCUCGACUAUAGUAAAUCAGUGCCACCUAGUCGCCGUCAUGAUAACAAUAUUUCCACCUUGUGCAUCUAUGAGCAGGAUUCUGUUAACUUGGCUAAGGUGGAGUCUUGGCUUGAAGAUCUUCUUUGGGAAAAGAAAUCUAGCAUGGACAUAUAUCGCUGUAAAGGGAUUUUAUAUAUCCAUGAUUCAGACCAAGUUCAUACACUACAGGCAGUGAGGGAAGUUUAUGAAGUUGUGCCGGCUCGAAAAUGGUCUGAGACAGAGUCUCGCAUGAACAAGAUAGUUGUCAUAGGCCGCAAUUUGGACAUCAAUGUUCUUCAAGAUUCUUUUAGUGUCUGCAAGAGCUGAUUAUGAGUAUCUGUUUGCCUUGCACAAUGUUAGUUGCCCAUGUUUCUGUGAGGUACCUCUGUGCAAGUGAAUACUGAACUGGAGGAGAAUCUUCAGAUAUCAGGUGCUCCAUAUAUAUACUUCGUUAGUGGAGAAACUUUAGUAGGGCUAGCAGCUCACUAUGCCAUGAGUAAGGGGUAGCCAUACAGGUCAACUGGUUUCAUGGCUGUAUUAUCAUGUCAAGUGCUUUUCCGACGCACCAUGGUAAAAUUUUUCUGCAGAGCUUGUUUCUUCGGUUUUGUCGAAGAGGCAUCUGUCCAAUUACGGGACGUUCUCCGGUGAAGUAUUCCAGUUUUGCUUGUAUGAUCAGAAAGACGAUCACCUUUUUUUACAUGAAAUAGAAACUGCGAUGCGUUAGGCGAAUUUUGCUCGGUGAA